AGCUGCUUGGCGCAGCGGAAGCGCGCCGGGCUCAUAGACGUCGAAAGACAUUCUAAGUGCACCCGGAGGUCUCAAGAUCGAAACUUGAAGCAGCUA
rnacentral:tRNA from 1 species